rnacentral:rRNA from 1 species
GAUGAACGCUGGCGGCGUGCUUAACACAAGCAAGUCGAACGGAAAGGCUCCUGCUUGCAGGGGUACUCGAGUGGCGAACGGGUGAGUAACACGUGGGUGAUCUGCCCUGCACUUCGGGAUAAGCCUGGGAAACUGGGUCUAAUACCGGAUAGGACCACAUUUUGGAUGGUGUGGUGGAAAGUUUUUCGGUGUGGGAUGAGCUCGCGGCCUAUCAGCUUGUUGGUGGGGUAAUGGCCUACCAAGGCGUCGACGGGUAGCCGGCCUGAGAGGGUGUACGGCCACAUUGGGACUGAGAUACGGCCCAGACUCCUACGGGAGGCAGCAGUGGGGAAUAUUGCACAAUGGGCGCAAGCCUGAUGCAGCGACGCCGCGUGGGGGAUGACGGCCUUCGGGUUGUAAACUCCUUUCGCUAGGGACGAAGCGCAAGUGACGGUACCUGGAGAAGAAGCACCGGCUAACUACGUG